AGCAGUAGCCACGGGAAUACAGAGGGUGCGAGCGUUAAUCGGAUUUACUGGGCGUAAAGCGUGCGUAGGCGGCUUCUUAAGUCGGAUGUGAAAUCCCUGAGCUUAACUUAGGAAUUGCAUUCGAUACUGGGAAGCUAGAGUAUGGGAGAGGAUGGUAGAAUUCCAGGUGUAGCGGUGAAAUGCGUAGAGAUCUGGAGGAAUACCGAUGGCGAAGGCAGCCAUCUGGCCUAAUACUGACGCUGAGGUACGAAAGCAUGGGGAGCAAACAGGAUUAGAUACCCCAGUAGUCCCUGUCUCUUAUAA
rnacentral:rRNA from 1 species